GGUGGUUCUCAGGUGACGCACCCCAAAUUCAGGCUCCCUCCUCUCUAGUUCUGGGUGCAUCACCCAAGAACCGCA
rfam:Myotis brandtii contig318145, whole genome shotgun sequence.